rnacentral:rRNA from 1 species
AUUGAACGCUGGCGGCAUGCCUUACACAUGCAAGUCGAACGGCAGCGGACCUUCGGGUGCUGACGAGUGGCGAACGGGUGAGUAAUGCAUCGGAACGUGCCCAAUCGUGGGGGAUAACGUAGCGAAAGUUACGCUAAUACCGCAUAAGCCCUGAGGGGGAAAGUGGGGGACCGCAAGGCCUCACGCGAAUGGAGCGGCCGAUGUCAGAUUAGCUAGUUGGUGGGGUAAAGGCUCACCAAGGCGACGAUCUGUAGCGGGUCUGAGAGGAUGAUCCGCCACACUGGGACUGAGACACGGCCCAGACUCCUACGGGAGGCAGCAGUGGGGAAUUUUGGACAAUGGGCGCAAGCCUGAUCCAGCCAUGCCGCGUGCGGGACGAAGGCCUGGUUGUAACG